ACCUCUCUCACACCGAUGGCUCUGAUCAUGCCUCAAUGCCAAAAGAGGCAGAUUAUGGACCAAGGAAACUAGAAGCCUAAGAAGAUGACCCCUAUCACUUCUGGCAUCUUGUCGACAGAAAGUUAUUCUUCUGCUCCCAGUCAUUGAAGUUCAUCAACAGCGACGGCGUGUGAUCGGAAAGCAGACUGUGCCAGUAAAGAGGCUGAGCUCACCUGUAUCCAGCCAAACAGCCAAUGCCACCUUCCCAAGCAAAACCAACAGCACCCACUCCACUGUCUGUUUUAUCUUCUCUCUAUUAUCAUCAUCCUCUCAUCUCACCAUACCUCUCUCUGCCUCUACUUUCUCUUAAAGAGGCAAUCUGCAGUUGCUACAUACAUUUUUGGACUUAAAAAUGAAUGAGAAAGAUAUAUAUAUCUCCAUUGAUUCUUGAAGAAUGUAAUUUAUCAAUGCCUCGUAAACUGAGUUUAACUGUUGUACCCCAUCCGAACAUAAUAUACUUUGGCUUAAAACAAGCUUAUUCUUUGUUAAAUAAAGUAAAUUUACACAAACAUAUAGCCUUAACGUGGUUCAAAAUACAAUUUUGAUAUCAUGGAGGUCAGCCCCAUCCCUCAGCUUUUUACUGAAACGGGUGGGGAAUUGGCUUUGUUAUUGUUUCAACUGCCGAUUGCCUCUAACUCAUCCUCUUUCUCUGCUCAGUGUGGUUGAUGGAGGGCAAAGUGGAUGUGUGUCAGGGUGACAGUGGGGGUCCCCUUGUGUUCCUAUCCUGGUUUUGGCAGCUGGUGGGGGUGGUGAGCUGGGGGGUGGGCUGUGCCUGCCGGGGCACCCUGGGGUCUACUGAAGAGUAUGUGAUGGAUAACAGAUACCUCAU